GCAGGCCUGAGUUCUAUAUUGCCAUGUGUGUCAAUGUAGAAUAAGGGUUAAGAUGAAAUGAGAAAGUAAUAGGAGAUGACGACUAGGGAGAUGGUCCCGUGCUCUGGCAAACAUGUUUGAGAUUCUUUGUCCCUCUGACACAGCUCAGCAGGGUGACUGUACAGGAUGAAGUGAAAGUCGUAUUCAGAGAGGGUGGGUUUCCUGUGGGUGUCCACAAACCAUGACGUGAAGACUGUGGGAGUAAAGGGAAAUGAUAAGUGGUUUGAAAGUCCUAAAGGGCAAGAGGUGAUGUGUGCGUUUCCAAGGGCAGAGAAAUGGCUGGUUACACAAGCUUCUGAUAAGAAAGUUCACAAGAACACGUCUAUCCUGUUCCUGCACAGGGGCAGCUCAGGAAUGUCAGAAGAGCCAUUCUUGGGAUCGAAUCGGCACCAGUCCCAGGAUUAUCUCUUGGGGAAAGGAGGCUGUGCAAAAGGCCAGGGGAGAAAACCAUUACCAGGGGUGCUGAUGUCCAGCCAGCUUUUCUAGGGUCAGUCCUGCCAGGGUCCUGACGUAGGUGAUCUACAAGAUGCCUCACGUUGCCCCACGUAAUGGAGGGAGUAGAGCUGGCCUUCUACAAGUUCCAUCUCUGCCACAGAAGUCUUCCUCUGCAGAACUAACUCUACAGGACUUUCCCUGCACAGCUCACAUGCUGACCAUAAUAGGAACAAUGAAAGGCAGAAAACAGUUAGAAAUGUU
rnacentral:lncRNA from 1 species